rnacentral:piRNA from 1 species
UUUAUUCAAAAUUUACUGCAU